rnacentral:rRNA from 1 species
GAUGAACGCUGGCGGCGUGCCUAAUACAUGCAAGUCGAGCGAACGGACGAGAAGCUUGCUUCUCUGAUGUUAGCGGCGGACGGGUGAGUAACACGUGGAUAACCUACCUAUAAGACUGGGAUAACUUCGGGAAACCGUAGCUAAUACCGGAUAAUAUUUUGAACCGCAUGGUUCAAAAGUGAAAGACGGUCUUGCUGUCACUUAUAGAUGGAUCAGCGCUGCAUUAGCUAGUUGGUAAGGUAACGGCUUACCAAGGCAACGAUGCAUAGCCGACCUGAGCGGGAGGUCGGCCACACUGGAUCUGAGACACAGUCCAGACUCCUACGGUAGGCAGCAGUAGAGAAUCUUCCGCAAUGGGGGAGAGCCUGACGGAGCAACGCCGCGUGAGUGAUGAAGGUCUUCGGAUCGUAAAACUCUGUUAGUAGGGGAGAACAUAUGUGUAAGUAACUGUGCACAUCUUGACGGUACCUAAUCAGAAAGCCACGGCUAACUACGUG